GCUGGGCACGGUGGCACGUGCCUGUAAUCCCAGCUACUCAGGAGGCUGAGGCAGGAGAAUUGCCUGAACCCAGGAGGCGGAGGUUGCGGUGAGCCGAGAUCGCGCCAUUGCACUCCAGCCUGGGUAACAAGAGCGAAACUCCAUCUCAAAAAUAAAUAAAUAAAUAAAGAGGAGCAAGGAGAAGGCAUUUUCUUUUUUUUGAGAUGGAGUUUCGCUGUUGUUACCCAGGCUGGAGUGCAAUGGCAUGAUCUCAGCUCACCGCAACCUCCGCCUUCUGGGUUCAAGCAAUUCUCCU
rnacentral:SRP_RNA from 1 species